AUAUUUAAUAAAUACUAUUUAUACUUUAUAUUAUAGCGUAGAUAUGCGCUUUUCUGAAGUAAUUUAUCGCAUAGUCUUUUCCAUUUCAUUUCCAAUGAUUUUAUCGAUUUGAUUCCGUUUUGAACGAUUCGAAUUUUCUUUUGUUUACUACUUACCAUUUCUUUUCAUCAAACAAAUGAGCGAAUUAACUCAACAUAUCAGUGGUUUUUUUCGCGCUUAUGUUCAAUUGAAUAAAACUUUCAAACAUCUAGUACAAGUAUGAUUUGUUUUCAACAUCUGCCAUUUCGAAACCAUUGAAUAUUUUUUGGUGGUUCCAAACUUUUGCCGGGCACUGUAUAUCACACUCAUUAUAUCGCUGAGCUUCAUUUGAAAAUUCCUCAUCGAAUUGAUUUGACCAACUGAAAUGAACUGUCGGAAUAUUAUGUAUGGCAGUAGUGGCAAUGGAUUCAAAUUCCGAAACGUCGUUUUUUGUUUUGAAAUCUCAUUCUGCGGGAUCAUAAUCAUUAUCAGGUCACUUGACGCAAUAAUUUCGUGAUCAAUCUUGGGAAUCAACAUUCUCCUAAUCAAUAAUAAAUAAAUGUUCGCAUCCAGGUCCUUAAUAGUUAUUUGUGAAAUCAAUUUGUCGGUUUGUUUUAAAUGUAUUUUUACUGCGGAACACUUCACAUUGACGUGCAAA